CAACAUAUAGCUUAUUUUCAGUUUAGCAGCUCAAAAUCUGAUACUUUUCGUCGGGGCCCUUCUGAAUGUCCGUUUACGCUCAAAUUUGACAGUUAGACUCGGUUCAAGUUAAAUAAAAGAAAUAUAUCUUAACUUUCCAGUUUAUGCCAUUUUUGGUCACCGAAAUCUCUACCGAAGUAAAAUCUCUAGCAGAUUAUUUUCUACUUUUCGGGUGUCAGAAUGAUAUGAAACUUUAAAUCUAGCAUCAUAAAAAUAAUUCUGACAUAUUCCCAAGUUUUCAUAAUUUUCUGACACUGUGAAUUUUCUGCUAAAAUAUCAGCCCCGCUUCUUACAGAAAAUUCUAAAUCUUCUAUUUUCAUUCUGAUUUCAGCACAUGUCGUUUCCGACUUAUAUUUUAUUUCUUUAAGUCAAAUAAAAAUAGUAUCUCAUACUAUUUUUAUUUACACUUACUUUUAUAUUAAAAUUCGGUAUAUUACAGGCAUGAUCUAUGCUAUUAGAACUAUUUAGAAACCAAAUUUCAUAAUUUUUCGACAUUAUUUACUAAGUAAUCGAAAAAGUCUCAAAAAUGACUAUUUUAAUAACCGAUGUGGCACGUUUGAAAGUUCAACGGUGUAGAAGAAUUCAAAUUAUAUGAAACUUUAAUGAAAAAUUCUACUUAACAUCAACAAUAAGAACAAUACUUCCGAUUUGAAAUUUGAGUAUUUUAUCACUAUUUUUGUGAUAAUUUUAUUUUUGGCUUUUCAUUUUGAGCUUACUUAUUUACUAGGCAAAUGAAGUCAAAAAAUUAUGAAAUUUGGUUUGUAAAUAGUUCAAAUAACAUAAAUCAUGUCUAACGGAGCUUCUCGCCGAAUCGGAUGCUCUAUCAUAACAAAUAACUUACAAAUACGGAGGCCUCCGUACUUUCAAAAGCAUAGUAGCCUAGCUCCUCUAUUUAGCUAUGUGAUA
rnacentral:lncRNA from 1 species